CUGCUUUUAGCUCAGCUUGUCGAGACAGUGCCGCUAAAUGAAAGCAGGCCUGUCUGUUAGAGGGAGCUGAGUAUACUUGUGCUUGUGCUCAGUUAGGUAUAGUCAUGCAUUUAUUUAACAAAGGCAACAGAACAGGAAUGCUGGACACUGGAAAUGCAGAGAUUACUGGGAGACAUCAGGACACUUGAAAUCUGGAGGAGGAAACCUAAGAGAUGCUGAUACAUGUGUAUUUUCCUAAAAGUUUUGAGACAACCAUAAUCUAAAGGGGGAGACUGAUGCGACCGGAAAGCAGUACAAAGUACCAUUGGGGUGAUUACAAGGUGAAAACACUAUGUUUGCACCUGGUCCUG